GUUUAGGGGUAAAAGCCGCUCUUUACCUUUUAGCGCUUGUAACUAUCUGAACUUAGAUUCCAGGGACGUUACACAUGCAUAUUUGGGAGAAAUUCACGCAGCAAUUUUUGCGACGCGUAUUCAACCGUGAAUUCAACCAACUGGACUCUGUUGGGUCGCUACGGGCUUGGAUGCGUGGGAUCCUCACCCGAAACCAUUUCAGACUGCUACACAAAAACGCGACCAUCAUUCAACACCAUUGGAGAAGUCAUAAAACCAGAAUCGCCUUUGGUCUGUACCUGAUCGAACGCGUUCAUGAGAUGUGGCAUAAUUAUUACGAUCAAAUGGCGGCGAGAGUGCACGCGAUGUGGCGGGGUUACUGGGUCAGAUUAUUACAGCUGCACCAUUUGUUAAGAACACACCAACAUCCAGGCGUGAUCACCAAAAUUGACAAAACAUGCUUCACAUACAUCGAGGAGAUGAUGAAGUGUUUCGAAUACAGACGCUGCGGAGAAAGAAAGACCCAAACCUGCCGUGACUGUCAAAUCGACCCCAAGCCAUCGCUACUCCUGCGAGGGACCUACUACGAACGAUGCGAAAGGGAAAUUCGAGAGAUCGAAAGACGCAUCAAAGUUGGAAUCACGCCAAUCUUUAGAAGUACAUUUCCAGAAAAAUUGAAAAUCCGUUCUGAUUUCCAAUUAAACUUUCAGGUCGACCGUACGAGGAAAACGACAAGCAUCGACACAAACAGAGACAGCGAUACACGAAAAAUAUUUGACGAACUCGUGCAACUUGGAAAUGAAAGAAAAGUGUGAUUCAAAAAUUGAAUCGCGAAUUCCUUGUGUGGAUCUUUAUAAAGAGAUCAAGGAAAUGGACUGUCAUUUGAAUCAGCUUCGUUUGAAGUGUCCGAUUCAUGAUCCAUCCCUGUGAUCGAUUAACAGGAAAGUCUCGUCAACAUUGAUAGCACUUACGAAGAACGCCUCGGUGUAUUGGUGUGUAAUUUGCCGAGCAGACGCCGGGAUUUUGGAC